GGAUCGAUGAUGCCUCAAAAAUCAUGUCACAAAAAAGCUGAACAAAAUGAAUGAAAACCCAAUUCCUACUGUCAUACGUGAGUGAGGUAC
ensembl:snoRNA SNORD116 Small nucleolar RNA SNORD116